rnacentral:tRNA from 1 species
GUCCCCAUCGUCUAAUGGUUAGGACAUGCCCCUUUCACGGGUAAAACACGGGUUCGACUCCCGUUGGGGAUA